rnacentral:lncRNA from 1 species
GUUAUACUAAGUGGCCUCGGCCUCGUACCUACGACCGAAUCACAGCCGUGAUCAUAUUCAGCAUCAGCACUCACUGUCGUGUGAUAUUUCUUAACUGACGCACGUUCAUCACGUUCAGAUACAUUAGGGAGGCCUAUGAAUGAAAAAAAAGGCGUCAAAGACGGUCCAAAUCUAACACAAUGAAUGAAGAUGGAAUGGAUGACAUAUCUGGGCAUGGAUCGUAUAUCAACCGCAGUAUUAAAAAGGCCCAGGUCAAGCACACUGAGGCAAAUGUUCAGCAGAUGCUCCUGGAGAGAAGAAGGUGAAGGAGAUCAAACAAUCAGUGGAGCUCAGCAGAGUGAGUUCUCAUACGAGUGCUAAUAAAAAGUUCAUGGACAGUACCCAGAUAUCCAGUGCUUUAAUAAAGUCCAUUUCCAAGAUCCUUACCGAGCUCUAUGAGGUUAUUGAGGAGAAGCAGAAAGCAGCAGAGACAUAGACUGAAGGGCUCGUCAAGGAGCUGGAGGAGGAAAUCAGUGAUCUACAGAAGAGAAGCGGUGCUCUGGAGCAGCUGUCACACACCGAGGACCACAUCUACCUGAU